rnacentral:tRNA from 1 species
GGAGGGGUGUCAGAGCGGUCGAUCGUGCGGCUCUCGAAAAGCCGUGCCCCGUCAGGGGCCGUGGGUUCGAAUCCCACCCCCUCCGCCA